rnacentral:misc_RNA from 1 species
GUCUUCUUCAGCAUAUCAAUAAAAGAAGUCUCCGACACGUCGCUGUCACUACAAGAAGAAGAGCGACGGAAACGCAUCUCUUUCUUCAUGGCUGCCAUAUUUUCUUGGUUCACCAAGAUACCAGUCGGGUCCGGUCUUCCACCAUCUGAAUUCUUCCCUCUGACAACCGGAUCUGGAAUCAGGACAGACAAACCAUCCUGGGAUGCCGAAGUGCGUGAAACGGGAGGGCGUUUCAAUAAAGUGUUAUCUUUAUUGUGAAUAGUCACCUGGUCUUUAGCAACCUCUUCAGGAAACGUAUUGGCAAUCUUUUCAUUGUGAAAGCCAGCAGAACCAAGAGACGAAUGCCGACUAAGGGUAUGAGUAUCCAUUGAAAAUUCCCCACGAUCAGCAGAUGCCACUUGAUCAAGCAUGCUUUCUU